CCAAGACCUGACAAUGACAUCUUAGGACAGACCGAGGGACCAAGGAAUGAGAGAGAAGCUCCUUGGACUUUGCCAGAGACCUCCACAUGGACGGGAGAGCUGCGAGGUCAGCCAGGUGGAUUGCUUGGGAAAUCUAUGCAGAGGAAAAUGAUACUUAAAGAAAAAGAGGCCAGCCUUUAAAUGCCUUUGAACUCUGCCAGAGUCUCUUCUUUGGCACAUCAUGGAAUGUCCUGGGCUCAGCCCUAGAACCACAUCACCUCCUGGCAUGAAGGCUUCCAACUAAUUGAUUACCAAACUAGGUCCAAACCCCGGGCCUAAGGAGAAAAUCUCACUGGCCCAGAUUGGGUCCACUGUCCAUCUCUGACCCAAUGAGCUCUGACCAGUAUAAGAAGCUCCUUCUUCAGGAUGCAUUGCUCUCCCUAAGCUCCUGCAGCCAGAAGGUGGAGUGGAGCCACCUCUGAGCUCAACCCAAGUUCUGUCCAGCGGAGGCACCGUGAUACCGUGCAAAGAGCACUGUGUUCAAGAGCCAUGCGGCCUGGGUCCCGCACUCCACUCUCCCAUCUCCCACUCAGCUGCUGGGAAGUGAGGCCCCAUCUCUGGACUU